rnacentral:lncRNA from 1 species
GGUGCGGGCCAGUGCAGGCCAGGCCCGGCCGGGGCGAGGCAGGUGGCCAGGUCCGAGGACCGCGUCGCACAGCAGCUUUCAGGACCUGGAGAGAAAUCGAGAUGAAGAAGGGAAGUCACUUGCUUCAUGGCCAGGGAAGGGCUCCAGCAAGACAUGGGCUCCUGAAAGUGACAGUGUGUGAAGGCCCGGAGAGGCACAGGACCUGCCCAGCUGAAUGGAGCUUCAUGGUCCCCUCGCCCUCCUUGGAUUGCAGCAAGGAAAGAGGUGUGUCUUCCGCAGAAAAAUGUGCAUGUUCUUUUAGAUGUGUGGCCUCCGAGCAAGGUAUUUAGCCUGCCUCUAUGUGCUCACCUGGAAAAUGGGGUGAUGAAGAAGAUGAUGAUGAUAAUGGGAACUCCCUCUUGGAGCUGCUGUGCAGAUGAAUUUUCCUUCUAACAGUCAGGCCCCUCUGCUGCAAGUCUGCUGGAGUUUUCUGGAGGUCCACUCCAGACCUUGUUUGCCUGGGUAUCACCAGCCGAGGCUGCAGAACAGCAAAGAUUGCUGCCUGUUCCUUCCUUUGGAAGCUUUGUCCCAGGGAGGCACCCACCAGAUGCCAGCUGGAGCUCUUCUGUAUAAGGAAAAGUGGGCAAGUUUUGAGUUCAACGUGAGGCCUCAAGGAUGUGUGCAACCCAUGGUACUUGAAUUUACUUAUUGACUGUUUUUUGGAAAUCCUUAUUUCCCAAAACUCGUGGAAGGAGCUGACUUCUGGCAGGAAACGUGGAACUGGCAGCGUGUCGUGCAAGCAUCUGCAAUCCCAGUCCUGAGCUGGACUUCUCAGAGAGGCUGGGCAUUAUUUAUGGAGAUGUCGGAGUGACAGGGGGAACUUCUGGCCAGGAACUGCCGGUGGUGUCACAUCCUUAACCUGGCUGACAUCGGAACACCCUGGGGGGAGCAUUUCUCCAGGAAAGGAUGGUGGGUCAGGAGCCCGCAUGGUGUCUUUUCAAAGCAAUAAUAAAGAUAUCAGAAGGGCAA